UAGCGCCUCGUGAAUUCAUCUCCGGGGGUAGAGCACUGUUUCGGCAAGGGGGUCAUCCCGACUUACCAACCCGAUGCAAACUGCGAAUACCGGAGAAUGUUAUCACGGGAGACACACGGCGGGUGCUAACGUCCGUCGUGAAGAGGGAAACAACCCAGACCGCCAGCUAAGGUCCCAAAGUCAUGGUUAAGUGGGAAACGAUGUGGGAAGGCCCAGACAGCCAGGAUGUUGGCUUAGAAGCAGCCAUCAUUUAAAGAAAGCGUAAUAGCUCACUGGUCGAGUCGGCCUGCGCGGAAGAUGUAACGGGGCUAAACCAUGCACCGAAGCUGCGGCAGCGACGCUUAUGCGUUGUUGGGUAGGGGAGCGUUCUGUAAGCCUGUGAAGGUGGCCUGUGAGGGUUGCUGGAGGUAUCAGAAGUGCGAAUGCUGACAUAAGUAACGAUAAAGCGGGUGAAAAGCCCGCUCGCCGGAAGACCAAGGGUUCCUGUCCAACGUUAAUCGGGGCAGGGUGAGUCGACCCCUAAGGCGAGGCCGAAAGGCGUAGUCGAUGGGAAACAGGUUAAUAUUCCUGUACUUGGUGUUACUGCGAAGGGGGGACGGAGAAGGCUAUGUUGGCCGGGCGACGGUUGUCCCGGUUUAAGCGUGUAGGCUGGUUUUCCAGGCAAAUCCGGAAAAUCAAGGCUGAGGCGUGAUGACGAGGCACUACGGUGCUGAAGCGACAAAUGCCCUGCUUCCAGGAAAAGCCUCUAAGCAUCAGGUAACAUCAAAUCGUACCCCAAACCGACACAGGUGGUCAGGUAGAGAAUACCAAGGCGCUUGAGAGAACUCGGGUGAAGGAACUAGGCAAAAUGGUGCCGUAACUUCGGGAGAAGGCACGCUGAUAUGUAGGUGAAGCGACUUGCUCGUGGAGCUGAAAUCAGUCGAAGAUACCAGCUGGCUGCAACUGUUUAUUAAAAACACAGCACUGUGCAAACACGAAAGUGGACGUAUACGGUGUGACGCCUGCCCGGUGCCGGAAGGUUAAUUGAUGGGGUUAGCGGUAACGCGAAGCUCUUGAUCGAAGCCCCGGUAAACGGCGGCCGUAACUAUAACGGUCCUAAGGUAGCGAAAUUCCUUGUCGGGUAAGUUCCGACCUGCACGAAUGGCGUAAUGAUGGCCAGGCUGUCUCCACCCGAGACUCAGUGAAAUUGAACUCGCUGUGAAGAUGCAGUGUACCCGCGGCAAGACGGAAAGACCCCGUGAACCUUUACUAUAGCUUGACACUGAACAUUGAGCCUUGAUGUGUAGGAUAGGUGGGAGGCUUUGAAGUGUGGACGCCAGUCUGCAUGGAGCCGACCUUGAAAUACCACCCUUUAAUGUUUGAUGUUCUAACGUGGGCCCCUUACCGGGGUUGCGGACAGUGUCUGGUGGGUAGUUUGACUGGGGCGGUCUCCUCCUAAAGAGUAACGGAGGAGCACGAAGGUUGGCUAAUCCUGGUCGGACAUCAGGAGGUUAGUGCAAUGGCAUAAGCCAGCUUGACUGCGAGCGUGACGGCGCGAGCAGGUGCGAAAGCAGGUCAUAGUGAUCCGGUGGUUCUGAAUGGAAGGGCCAUCGCUCAACGGAUAAAAGGUACUCCGGGGAUAACAGGCUGAUACCGCCCAAGAGUUCAUAUCGACGGCGGUGUUUGGCACCUCGAUGUCGGCUCAUCACAUCCUGGGGCUGAAGUAGGUCCCAAGG
rnacentral:rRNA from 1 species